rnacentral:rRNA from 1 species
UACAGAGGGGGCAAGCGUUGUUCGGAAUUACUUGGCGUAAAGGGCGCGUAGGCGGCCCGCUAAGUCGAACGUGAAAUCCCUGGGCUCAACCCAGGAACUGCGUCCGAUACUGGCGGGCUUGAACCCGGGAGAGGGAUGUGGAAUUCCAGGUGUAGCGGUGAAAUGCGUAGAUAUCUGGAGGAACACCGGUGGCGAAGGCGGCAUCCUGGACCGGUAUUGACGCUGAUGCGCGAAAGCCAGGGGAGCAAACGGG